UACGUAGGGGGCGAGCGUUGUCCGGAUUUAUUGGGCGUAAAGCGCUCGUAGGCGGUUUGGCAAGUCGGGUGUGAAAACUCCGGGCUCAACUCGGAGACGCCACUCGAUACUGCUAUGACUCGAGUCCGGUAGGGGAGUGCGGAAUUCCUGGUGUAGCGGUGAAAUGCGCAGAUAUCAGGAGGAACACCGGUGGCGAAGGCGGCACUCUGGGCCGGUACUGACGCUGAGGAGCGAAAGCGUGGGGAGCGAACAGG
rnacentral:rRNA from 1 species